AGUGAACGCUGGCGGUAGUCCUAACACAUGCAAGUCGAACGGCAGCACAGUAAGAGCUUGCUCUUACGGGUGGCGAGUGGCGGACGGGUGAGGAAUACAUCGGAAUCUACUUUUUCGUGGGGGAUAACGUAGGGAAACUUACGCUAAUACCGCAUACGACCUACGGGUGAAAGCAGGGGAUCUUCGGACCUUGCGCGAUUGAAUGAGCCGAUGUCGGAUAGCUAGUUGGCGGGGUAAAGGCCCACCAAGGCGACGAUCCGUAGCUGGUCUGAGAGGAUGAUCAGCCACACUGGAACUGAGACACGGUCCAGACUCCUACGGGAGGCAGCAGUGGGGAAUAUUGGACAAUGGGCGCAAGCCUGAUCCAGCCAUACCGCGUGGGUGAAGAAGGCCUUCGGUUUGUAAAGCCCUUUUGUUGGGAAAGAAAAGCAGCAGGUUAAUACCCCGCUGUUCUGACGGUACCCAAAGAAUAAGCACCGGCUAACUUCGUG
rnacentral:rRNA from 1 species